GCAUGGCAGAAUUCUGUUUUACUCUUGAAGUAGUAAAAACAGUCAGACACCAUGCUAAAUUAUUGUUUUCACACACUGGCUCAAGAACAGGAUCAGAGUGCUAAUUAUAUGCCUCAUUCUUACGUCAGAGUGAAUACAGAU
ensembl:snoRNA